rnacentral:pre_miRNA from 1 species
UUUAAGUGUAACUAUAAGUUUUUACGUUUAGUUUUAAUCGUUUAUCUUAUUUAAAAAAUUUUAAAAUUAGUAUUUUUAUUGUUAUAAAAUGAUAAAAUAUGAAUAAUACUUUACUCGUGAUUUAUAUUUUUAUUUUUUUUAUUUUUUUAAAUAAGACGGACGAUUAAAGUUGGACAUGUUAAAUAAUUGUUGCAAUUAAA